ensembl:lncRNA
GGCUUGGAUUGGGUCGCCAGUCGGAUUCGAGUGUACGAUCUGAUUGGCCAAUUCAAGUCUAUUUCACAGAGGGACAUGGCAACACAAUUCAGUGCAUUGUACUGCAACAAAUUUAUAUUAGAUUAGUUUAACUACAGGAUUUCAUUUUUGUUCUUUUUAUUUUUGUGUAUUAAACUUAAAUUGUUGAAAUGGUUUACUAUUUUUGUUUCAUGUAUUUAUUUAUUGUUUUAGAUGGCAGAAAGGGACCUCUCUGAAAACAGAGGUUCUACUGACAGAUGAUCUGUGGCGUCUGCACAUGACCUACAAGAGAUAUGUCUCAUAUGUGUGUCCUCAUUAUUCUAAACGAAUUGAAAAGCCAAUGCAGGCCUUGGCUUACCUGGUGCGUAACCUUCUCAAAUGGUUCCCUGAAUCGGACAGCAGCCCUCCGGAGCUCACACGAGCACAUCUUGUUGGUCCUCAGCGCAAGGCUCCUGCUCCUCUGCGGACCGUGAUCCUGAAAUGCCUUCGCUUCACCGACAGAGAUUGGAUUUUAGGAUUCGCAAGGAAGUCACCGGUGACAGUAGACAGCCAAGCAAUUCGCUUCACUGCAGACUAUAGCGAUGCCACCGCUCGGCGCAGACGCCCGUGCUUCCCUAUAAUGAGCAGGGCUCGCACCUUGGGAUUUCAUGCUUUCCUGUUAUAUCCAGCCACCAUCAAGUUGAUAAGAGGACUCGACCAAAACCUGUUUACUGAGCCAAGUGAGGCGUCCAAGUUUAUUGACUCCUUUGUUUCACUCAAUUCGGAAGAUAUGACUUCACUUUUGCCAUGACUGUUGUCAUGCUAGUUUUUCUCUGUCAUUCCAUUCAAGCAUAAGAAACGUCUACAUUUGCAACCUGAUUUUGAUUUUCUGAUUAAUUAUCUGCCUUUUUACGGCUUGGAGUCUUGCCUAUUUUUAGUUGGUAAUAUUACGCUGUUUUGUUGUUCUAUCGCACUGAGAUUUAACUCGUAAAAUCCGUUGUGGAUCUCUUUUAUUUUUCUAGCAAAAAUUAAUAAAGUAAUAUGAUUGAUUAAGCUCAGUAGUGCUAUUUUUAGGGGAGUGAGCGAAGGACAGUUAUUUGAUCUGUUGAUUUUUUUUUCUGCUUUGUUUAAAUGAAAGAUCUUUUUGUGUGUAUGUGUGUUUGUGUGUGCGUGUGGUUUGCAUGUUGGUUUGCUCUCAUAAUAUUCACCUUACCCCAAUCACUACCAUUACUGUAAGUCUACAGAGCCCGGGACGUCACCUGUAGGAGAAAAAAAUACAAUCCGUGGCGACGGUUUUGCAAUCCAUCCCCUGAGUUUAUAAACCAUACUCAUGAAUUCUUAAACUGUUCCCUCGGUUUAACAAAUCAUGCCCACGGAUUAAUAAACCGUACCCAAGAAUUUCCAAUCGGUGUGCUCAGAUUUUUUAAACCGUACCCUCGGUUUUUGAAUCCGUACCCACAAAUUCAUAAUCCGUGCGCACGCUUUCUCAAUCCGUUCCCUCGGAUUUGUAAACUCACGGAUUUGUGGCUCCGCCCCCACCGGCAGAUUGAUUUCUGUUUAUUAAACAUUAUUUUUCAUAGUAUCCUAUGAGACCAUGAUCCGCCCUCACAAAAUAGUCUUCUUUUUAGCGUUUAUUUUACAUUAAUCACCAAUAGGAUAAGAUACUGCCGCCUGUGUUUUAUAGCCUAAAAUAAACGCUAAAAAGAAGAAGAAAAGGGAAAAAACAAUACAAAACAAAUAAUGUGCCAGUUAUGUUGUCAUUCCUUUUCUCUCUAACUGAAUGCAAUGUUAUAAUAGGCCUAAUUAUUUAAUAAUAACAUUAAUAGUGAAGCGUGCAUCUAACUCUGGGCGGGAGCUUAGUAUAAUAAAAUCACCAAAAUAAGUCUUCAUGUUAAGAAAGAAUAGUACACAAACAUUUCCAAAACUGUAAAAGGUUAUUUAAAAAUAAAGCAUUCAUGAAUUAUUUUAUGACAAACAUUUUUACUGUCUUAAGUGCACUCAUUUAUUUAGCCUAUAAAUUAAAAUAAUAAUAAUAAAAAUAACUAUUAUUUAUAUCAUUAGGCCUAUUAUAUAUUAUUAUACAGGUUAUGCAUAAGAAACUUUUAUCCAAAACGACUUACAAAAGAGGAACAAAUUACUCCAGAGUCAGUCACAAUGCCAGGUUUAUUUUACAAUAAUAAUCAAGUGCUAAGAUUAUCACAAAUUAAACAAGAUUUUGAUGCACAUCUUUCUUAUUAAAUCGUUGUAUUCCACCUCAUACUACACUUGA